UGGGGAAUAUUGCGCAAUGGGGGCAACCCUGACGCAGCCAUGCCGCGUGAAUGAAGAAGGCCUUCGGGUUGUAAAGUUCUUUCGGUGAUGAGGAAGGUGGAUGUUUUAAUAGAGCAUACAAUUGACGUUAGUCACAGAAGAAGCACCGGCUAACUCCGUGCCAGCAGCCGCGGUAAUACGGAGGGUGCGAGCGUUAAUCGGAAUAACUGGGCGUAAAGGGCACGCAGGCGGACUUUUAAGUGAGGUGUGAAAUCCCCGGGCUUAACCUGGGAAUUGCAUUUCAGACUGGGGGUCUAGAGUACUUUAGGGAGGGGUAGAAUUCCACGUGUAGCGGUGAAAUGCGUAGAGAUGUGGAGGAAUACCGAAGGCGAAGGCAGCCCCUUGGGGAUGUACUGACGCUCAUGUGCGAAAGCGUGGGGAGCAAACAGG
rnacentral:rRNA from 1 species